rnacentral:rRNA from 1 species
GACGAACGCUGGCGGCGUGCCUAAUACAUGCAAGUCGAGCGAACGGACGAGAAGCUUGCUUCUCUGAUGUUAGCGGCGGACGGGUGAGUAACACGUGGAUAACCUACCUAUAAGACUGGGAUAACUUCGGGAAACCGGAGCUAAUACCGGAUAAUAUUUUGAACCGCAUGGUUCAAAAGUGAAAGACGGUCUUUCUGUCACUUAUAGAUGGAUCCGCGCUGCAUUAGCUAGUUGGUAAGGUAACGGCUUACCAAGGCAACGAUGCAUAGCCGACCUGCGAGGGUGAUCGGCCACACUGGAACUGAGACACGGUCCAGACUCCUACGGGAGGCAGCAGUAGGGAAUCUUCCGCAAUGGGCGAGAGCCUGACGGAGCAACGCCGCGUGAGUGAUGAAGGUCUUCGGAUCGUAAAACUCUGUUAUUAGGGAAGAACAUAUGUGUAAGUAACUGUGCACAUCUUGACGGUACCUAAUCAGAAAGCCACGGCUAACUACGUG